rnacentral:rRNA from 1 species
AGUGAACGCUGGCGGUAGGCCUAACACAUGCAAGUCGAACGGCAGCACAGUAAGAGCUUGCUCUUGCGAGUGGCGAGUGGCGGACGGGUGAGGAAUACAUCGGAAUCUACUUUUUCGUGGGGGAUAACGUAGGGAAACUUACGCUAAUACCGCAUACGACCUACGGGUGAAAGCAGGGGAUCUUCGGACCUUGCGCGAUUGAAUGAGCCGAUGUCGGAUUAGCUAGUUGGCGGGGUAAAGGCCCACCAAGGCGACGAUCCGUAGCUGGUCUGAGAGGAUGAUCAGCCACACUGGAACUGAGACACGGUCCAGACUCCUACGGGAGGCAGCAGUGGGGAAUAUUGGACAAUGGGCGCAAGCCUGAUCCAGCCAUACCGCGUGGGUGAAGAAGGCCUUCGGGUUGUAAAGCCCUUUUGUUGGGAAAGAAAAGCAGCAGGUUAAUACCCCGCUGUUCUGACGGUACCCAAAGAAUAAGCACCGGCUAACUUCGUG